UCCUGAUUUACUCAUUUGGCUUUGAGUUUGCUGCAGCAGUUGAUGCGGUCAACGGAGGUCACAAACUAUACGAUGUUGAGGAUGCAGUAACUCGGCGUAGAAGCUGCUCACAAGCCAGAGAUACAACAACAACGGUUCUGUUAUUGGCAUUACGCUUUGGCUGCGAUUCUGUUUACAUGGUGCAAAGACCACUGUUUGUUUAUGGUUGUGGAGUUUCAUAGCUUUUUCACAUAUCUUGUUUUUGGUUGUAAUUCAGGCUUUGAUUACAUCUACAAAUGCUCAAUUUUUUUGCUUACUUUUAUUUGAGAUAUUGAUGAUGGUAAAGUCUGGAACAUAAGGUUGCUCUGAUGAUUAUAUAUUCCAUGAUCUUGGUUAAGGAAUUAUAGGUUGUUUAUGAUUUUUCCUGGAACACGGUCUUGUUGUUGCGUGAAUUCUGGAGGCAUGAAUAUGUGAAUCAUGAGCCAAGUGUGGGGAUUGGGUGUGUUGUAUCACGAGUAACAUGUUUGUUGUUGCCUUUUCAUUUCGCCUUUCAUAGAAAUAUUUGGAAAUGCUUGGAAUUUGUUUGGAAUAGUUGAAAUGUAUGUAACGUUUCUUGCCGUAAUUUUUACAGUAAGUUGAUUUUAGUGGCAAUGUAGUAUAACCAUGCAUAAAUACAUUAAACUGUAAUUUUCUCUUUGAACUUAA